GCGCCUCCCCGCUGAGUGACGCUUCCGUGCGCAUGCACCUCCCCCGCCUUCUCCCCGGAGGAUCCUGACGCGCAUGCGCGGCGUGCCUGGCUGCGACUGGAAAAGGGAAAUCCGGAAAUGAACCCGGCAGGGGGCGGGGCGUGACCUUUGACCCCGCGCACGCGGAGGACGGCGGCGGCAGCGGCGCACGCGGGACGCGGCCGUGGAGACCAUGGAGCAGCCCCUGGAGCUCGAGAGCGAUGACGAUCUCACAGACAGCGAGGAGAGCGUUUACUCGGGGCUGGAGGACUCUGGCAGCGACAGCACCAACAGCAGCGCCGGGGAGGAGGAGGAUGAAGACGAGCGGGAGGAGCCUGGCAGCGGGGCAGCCCCCGAGGUCAAAGGGGCUCCCAGGAAGAGCAAAGCCCUGGGGGCUGAUCCCCCUCCAAAGGAUGGCGAGGGUCUGAGCGUUCCGGAUGAGUACGUGGAAGACAGCUCGGAUGAGGAGGUAGGACCGCCUGCCAACUUGUGGAUGCAACGUAGGGCUGGUGGAUUUCUUACUGCGUCGUCUUCCGUGCAAACCCAGAGGGAGGGACGUUGGGUCAAAGAGCGCUGGGUGUGAAGGGGGGCUGCCCACCCUGCAGCUCGCUGCUGGCACCCAGGGGGACUGGGGGGGGCUGGUGAUGGAGCGCAGCGCUCGCGGUGCCUGGCGCGGGAGGUUGGAAACUGCUUGUGCAAGAGGCAGCAGGAUGCCGGGCCGCAGAAUGCUCCUUGGCUUGGCUCGUUCCAGACCAACUUCAUUGCCUUUCUUAAUCGUCUGCUAAAUCAAUUAACGCCGUUGGCGCAAAUCAGCUGCUCCUGCAGAGCCCUGGGGUCGGGAUGGGGUGAGCGCCAAGCGCGCGGGGGCGUUCGGUCUGGCCCUAUCGCCGGGCUCUGGGUUCACUGGAAGGUGCUGGGACAGGUUUGUGGGGGCAGCUUGAGGGCUGUUGGUGAGCUUUGAGGGCACGGUGUGCUAUAUUGGGGUGCAACCUGCUAUAUUGGGGUGCAGCCUGCUAUACUGGGGCGCAGCGUGCUACAUUGGAGCAUUGGGAGGCUUCAAAACCCCAUUUUGAGGCUUAAUGGCCUGUUUUGAGGGAUCGUGGGCCCAUUUUAAGAACUCAUAUCCCAUUGGCAGGAGUUGGACUUGAUGAUUCCUGAUGGGUCCCUUCCAAGUUGGGACACGUUCUCUGAUUCUGUGGUGCGAUAUACCGGGGUGCAGCGUGGUAUAAGGGGCAUUUUGAGGGCUCAGAACCCCAUUUUGAGGGCUUGUGGACCUUUUUUGAAGGAUCACAGUCCUACUUUGAGAACUCCUAGCCCCAUUGCUAGGAAAUUAACUUCAUGAUCCCUACGGGUCCCUUGCAAGUCGGGAUAUAUUCUGUGAUAUGGUAUAUCGGGACAUGGUGUGGUAUACUGGGGUAUGGUCUGGUAUGUUGGAACAUGGCGUAAUGUUUUGGGACAUUUUGAGGGUUCAUAGCCCCAUUUUGAGGGCUUAUGGCCCUAAUUUGGGGAGAUCACGGCCCCAUCUUAAGUCCUCCCACUAUUGCCAGCAGUUGAACUCGAUGAUCCUUAUGGGUCCAUUCCAAGUCGGGAUACAUUCCCUGAUUCUGUGGCACGGUAUAUCGGGGCAUGGCAAGGUGUAUUGCAGAAUGGCGUGGUAUGUCGGGCCGUGGUGUUGUACAUCAGGGCAUUUUGAGGGCUCGGAAUCCUAUUUUGAGGUCUUACGGCCCUAUUUUGAGAGUUCACGGUCCCAUUUCGAGUAUUCCUAGCCCAAUUGCCAGGAGUGGACUUGAUGAUCCUUACAGAUCUCUUCCAAGCUGGGAUACGUUCUGUGAUUCUGUGGCACGGCGUAUUGCAGAACUGCGCGGUGUAUGAAGGCACGGUGUGGUGCAGCGGGGCAUUGAGCGCCAGCACAGCGGCUCCUGGGCCCUGCAGCCAGCGAAGGGCCUCAGCCCUGGCUCUGGAGACACGAGGGGGGCCUGGAGCACACCGUGCCCCGGGGCUGGACGCUGGAGGCCCACCUGGGUUGGCGCUGGAGCUGCCGGCAGCCCCCGGAUCUGGAAUAGAGAUUUAGAGAGAGGGGAAAUAUAUGACUAUAGAAAACAUACACUUGUGUAAUGUCUCCAGCAUAACCCAGGAAAAAAAACCCUUUCAUGCAGGAAUCCGAGGUCUCCCCCCUCCCCAGCCGGUCCCGGUGCAGGGCCCCCGUGGGGGGAGAGCUGAUUCAGAACCUGUUGACAUCAGAGCAGCUUCCAGUGGCUUUGUUCCUGCUCCCCGCUCCCAGCCCCCUGCCCUCUGCGAUUGUAUUUAUCUCUCCUCCAGAAGAUCCCCGGUGCUGCUGCUGCUUCCUGUGGCCGCUUUGCGCUCGUCGCCCCGCGCUGCCCCGGCUUCGUCCUUCUGUGCUGCAGCAGGGGCCGUUAUCUUCCAUUUCUCCUUAUCUUUUCUUCAUUGAGACCCCCAGCUUCUGUUCCGUAGCGUCGUUCUAACGAAUGCGUGAGCUCAUCCUUAUUAAUGAGCGGCCUCAUCCUCCUCAAAGGACCGCAGUGCUCUCAACAGAGAUACUGGAGGUGCACGCAGCCCCUGAGGGCCCCGCGGAUGGGGCUCAGCCCAUCGCACCCGCAGGCAUUGGGAGCAAACGGUGAAUGAACGGGAUGCACCGGGGGGCUCCCAUCCCACACCCACCCCUGUGCAGCCCUCGGGAAAGCAUGGCAACGAGUGUUGAUGUGGGCACAGCGCCGUCCGUCCCUGCAGCUGCGCUGGGACAGCGGGCCGUCCCUCCCCAUUUGCCCCCCACGGAGCUGCGGGAGCGGUGUCCCCAUCCAUCGCCCCCAGCACCGGGUGCCCAGGGACACCACACACCAAGUCGAGGUAGAGGCGGCCCUGCUGCACCUUGUCACCUGCAGGUGGCUGCCCGACACCGGGCGAUGCUGCGACACUGCUCUCCCCCCGUGGGGCUGCCGCCGUCUGACCCAUCGCUGUGCCCACAGCCGACCCCACAAGCAGCACGGGUGGGAAAACAUCCACGGUGCCCCCGGAGCGCCCGGAGCCGUGCCGCUGUCACUCAGCGCCUGCGCGGGGGCUCCGAGCUCCUUAAUAAAGAGUAAUGGCCCCGCGCUGCCCCGCGCUCCCGCUCGCUUGGCAGCUCCUCCUGGCCACGCGCCCGGCCGCUGUGCCGUGAGCUCUGAGCAGAGACACAACAAAACCCCGGCGGUUUCCUGGCCGGGUGCGCAGCCCGCGGUGCCUGCGGGGCUCCCGGUGGCACAGCAGUGCGGGUGCCCGCGGUGCCGGCGCUCCCCCCGGCGCUCGGCACGGAGAUGAAUGGCCGCGAGCUGCCGCGGCUGUCAGGGCCUCGCUGGGAGGAAGCAGUUUGGGGCUUUUGUUUGGUUCUGUUUCCUCCCACAAUGACUAUUCCAUAUGUCAGUGGAUAAUGAAUGAAGGAGCGCUGAGUGCUCCUCGGAGCGCGGCGGCCGUUCCAAGCCCACUUCCCUCCUCCGCAGCGCAGCUGAGCCGGGCGGGGGGCGAGCGCUGGCCGGGCGCAGGGAGCUCUUCUUUCAGUAGCUGAUUAGCCAAGAGAGAAAAGUGCUGCAGAAUGUGCUGCUGGCAGACGGCUCCUUCACUCAUCACUCUGUGUGUGUGUGUGUGUGUGCGCGGCCCUGCGUGCGCUUCCUGACCUGCCUGGCUCUGCCUGAUCUCCGUGCUCCCCCGCGAGCGCGCCUGGCCAACGAGCGUGUGCUCAGACCCUGGAACGGUGAGGGAGGAGUGGGCAGUGCCAUGCUGGAGCUCAUGGACAGUCAGUGCCGUGCCAGAGCUCGUGGGCAGUGCUGUACCGGAGCUUGUGCUCCAUGCUGUGCCAAAGCUCUGGAGAUGGGCGAGGAGGGGCCCUGUGGGCAGUGCUGUGCUGUGCUGGAGUUUGCAAGCAGUGCUGUGCGGUGCCAAAGCUCCAGAGCCAGGAAAGGAGGGACCCAGCAGAUGGCUGUGCUGUGCCAAAGCUCAUGGGCAGUGCUGUGCCGUACCAGAGCUCUGCAGAUGGACAAGGAGGGGCCCUGUGAGCAGUGCCGUGCUGUGCCAAAACUCUGCAGCCAUGCAAGGAGAGCUUCUGUGUGUGGCUGUGCUGUACAGAGGCUCACGGGCAAUGCCACGCUCUACUGAAGCUCCAGAGCCAGAUAAGGAGACACUCAACAGUCGGUGCCGUGCCAAAGCUCACAGCAGCCCUGUGGUGGCACUGGGGGAACCUCCCGAUUCCCAAACCAGCUCUGCUGCUCAAUUCCACACUUCUUACGCCCAACUUUUUUCCGAGGGGGAAGUGCCUCUCAGUGUUGCUGCGUCCCUUCCAAAAAGCUCCGCUUCCCAUUGCUGGGAGCAGCGCACGCUGCAGCUGGGUUGCGCACUGGGGAGGGACCGUGGCACGGAGCUUUGGGUGCUUGCCUGCACCGAAGGAUGUGGCUCAGGGCUCCUCGGUGCCUCCUGUCCCCUCGAGCACAAACGAUUCCUGGGAAGGCAGGAGCUGCCACACACGACAUCAGGAAGGAGCUGAAGGAUGGACGCGGGGAGGAAAGCGGUGCGUUGCAGCUCCAGCCCACCGCUGAGGUCCUCCAGCUGCAGUGCCAUGCCCCAUUUCCACAAUUCCGUUUUGGAACAGCGGAGGGAGAGUGAAAGGAGCUGCAGAGAUGGAUGGAGGGGAUAAUUGGAGGCCUGGGGGGAGCAUGCAGACGAGGAGAUGUGAGAAGGGGAGAUUUGUGCCGGCUGGAGGCAAAGCGGAGUCGGGAGGACGCUAACAGGAUGCAGGAGGAAGCACGGGGAUAUUUGACGAGAUGAAACGGCGUCAGGUUGAAAUGGAAAUGAAAUGGGAGGAGAGGGACGCACUCGCUGUGCAGCCGUAUUGUCCUGCACGGCACAGGGCAGAGCAUCACAGCACCACCAGAGGCUGCACAGACGUCUGGGUCUGCACACAGUGAUGCCAAUAAUAACGGGAACGUCGGGAGCUGCGGUGCUCCAGGCUGAGAUCGAUGCUAUGGGACCUCAAGGAUCCACGAUGGUCCCUGAGCCGCACGCACCAGGAACGCUCUGCUAUGUGCUGGGUGGUUGUAGAACCAUGGAGGAUGGAUAACAUCUCCAAGAUCCCCCAGUCCAACCCCAACCCAUCUCCACCAUGGCCCUAAACAGAACCAUAAAGUCUUUGUCACAGCAUUAAUCACGACAGUCAUUAGGGUUGGAAGAGACCUCCAAGAUCUCCUAGUCCAACCCCAAUCCAUCUUCACCAUGACCCUAAAUAGAACCACAGGGUCAUUAAAGUUGGAAGAGACCUCCAAGACCCACCAGUCCAACCCAACCCUUUCCACCAUGCCCACUGACCGCGUCCUCCCCCAAGUGCCACAUCUCCACUGUCCUGUAACUCCAGAGAUGGGGACUCCCCCUCCACCUCCCUGGGGAGUGGGAGGGGGCCUUGGAGCUGUUUUGUUGUCUCAUCUUGUUGUCAGCAAAGGGUGGGGAGCUCCGCUUUCAGCACAUCCCACCCCAUCUUCCACCACACCUCAACCACCAAAGGUCUUAGAUUCAUAGAACCAUAGAGUGAUUGGGUUGGAAGGGUCCUUAAAGAGCACAGAACCGUGGAAUGGUUGGGUUGGAAGGGCCCUUAAAGAGCACAGAACUGUGGAAUGGUUGGGUUGGAAGGGUCCUUAAAGAGCACAGAACCAUGCAAUGGUUGGGUUGGAAGGGUCCUUAAAGACCACAGAACUGUGGAAUGGUUGGGUUGGAAGGGUCCUUAAAGAGCACAGAACCAUGGAGUGGUUGGAUUGGAAGGGUCCUUAAAGAGCACAGAACCGUGGAAUAGUUGGAUUGGAAGGGUCCUUAAAGAGCACAGAACCAUGGAGUGGUUGGAUUGGAAGGGUUCCUCAAAGCCCAUCCAUCUCCAACCCACUCCUCAGCCCACCCAGGCCUCUCUAGAUGCCAUCCCUUCCUUCUGUUGGAUGUGGGGGCCGUCAGCAAACUGCUGGCGCUCCCAAUCCCACCGCCGGUGCUUUCGGUGAAGGAGAGCCCUUCUCCAUUGACCGUGGGUUUCCUGUGGGUUCCUCGGUGAGGAGCAUCGCGUGGGCUCCUGUGGGAGCUCUGCUGCCACUCACUGAUGGUUAAACAGGCUGAGAGGAGCCAGAGGAACACGACGCAUGGCUCGGGGCCUGUGCUGCGCAUCUCCCCCCUUCCCCCAUAGACUGGGGAUGGUUUCGGCACCAGCUCCGGCGCUUGGGGCCGCCGUGGGAAGCCGGGCUGGCGCAGCACCGGGAGCUCACAGCUGUGCAGCUCGGGCACUCGUUGGGGCUCCUGGCGCUCCAGGACGGAAAGUUUCCACGCUCGGCACGUCGGAGCUGGGACCCGGCAGCCCCUUCCCCACAGCACCGGGCGUCCCUGACCCCGUGCAGCGCCGUGCCCGGCAAUGAGGGGCGGCUGUGGCGCUGCCGGGGGAUUCUCUGCGGUGGGGACAGGGAGGGCUGGAGCUGGGGGGAGCGGGGGAGAGCCGGUGAUUAACUGGUGCUGAUACAGCCGUGAAAAAGGAGCUCCAUUACUCUGUCUCUUGGCUGCCCCAGAGCUGAUAUUUAAAGCCGUUUGUAAAGCGGCUCAGUUGGGGCAGGAAAGGCUUUUUCCUUCUGGAAGGAAUGACAUCACCGAAUACAUUUAACCGAUCAGGUCUCUGACCCAAGGAGAGCGAGAAACCCACAACAACUUGCGGCUGAUGAGUGGAAACUUUUCCUUCUUUCUUUCUUUCUUUUUUUCUUUUCUUUUCUCCUUUUUUUUUUUGUUUUUUUUUUUUUUCCGUUUACUUUCCCCCUCUGCGUGCCGGCUCUACGCGGCUCGGCUCCAUGGGCUGCACUCCAGGAUCCGCUCCGAUUCCUCCGGCCCCGCUGCACCCGGGGGGGGGGGGGG